CUGUUCAAGGCGGGGUGUAAUUCCCCACCGGCGGUAAGCAGCCGUAGUCGCUGCGCAGCCCGCUAACCCUCCUUCGGGAGGGCCGAUCCAGUGAGAAUCUGGAGCCGACGGUCACAGUCCGGAUGAGAGAGCAG
rnacentral:ncRNA from 1 species